AUACAUGCAAGUCGAGCGAACAGAUAAGGAGCUUGCUCCUUUGACGUUAGCGGCGGACGGGUGAGUAACACGUGGGUAACCUACCUAUAAGACUGGGAUAACUUCGGGAAACCGGAGCUAAUACCGGAUAACAUUUAGAACCGCAUGGUUCUAAAGUAAAAGAUGGCUUUGCUAUCACUUAUAGAUGGACCCGCGCCGUAUUAGCUAGUUGGUAAGGUAACGGCUUACCAAGGCAACGAUACGUAGCCGACCUGAGAGGGUGAUCGGCCACACUGGAACUGAGACACGGUCCAGACUCCUACGGGAGGCAGCAGUAGGGAAUCUUCCGCAAUGGGCGAAAGCCUGACGGAGCAACGCCGCGUGAGUGAUGAAGGUCUUCGGAUCGUAAAACUCUGUUAUUAGGGAAGAACAAAUGUGUAAGUAACUGUGCACAUCUUGACGGUACCUAAUCAGAAAGCCACGGCUAACUACGUGCCAGCAGCCGCGGUAAUACGUAGGUGGCAAGCGUUAUCCGGAAUUAUUGGGCGUAAAGCGCGCGUAGGCGGUUUCUUAAGUCUGAUGUGAAAGCCCACGGCUCAACCGUGGAGGGUCAUUGGAAACUGGGAAACUUGAGUACAGAAGAGGAAAGUGGAAUUCCAUGUGUAGCGGUGAAAUGCGCAGAGAUAUGGAGGAACACCAGUGGCGAAGGCGACUUUCUGGUCUGUAACUGACGCUGAUGUGCGAAAGCGUGGGGAUCAAACAGGAUUAGAUACCCUGGUAGUCCACGCCGUAAACGAUGAGUGCUAAGUGUUAGGGGGUUUCCGCCCCUUAGUGCUGCAGCUAACGCAUUAAGCACUCCGCCUGGGGAGUACGACCGCAAGGUUGAAACUCAAAGGAAUUGACGGGGACCCGCACAAGCGGUGGGAGCAUGUGGUUUAAUUCGAAGCACCGCGAAGAACCUUACCAAAUCUUGACAUCCUUUGAAAACUCUAGAGAAUAAAGCCUUCCCCUUUCGGGGGACAAAGUUGACAGGUGGUG
rnacentral:rRNA from 1 species